rnacentral:rRNA from 1 species
ACCCGCUGAACUUAAGCAUAUCAAUAAGCGGAGGAAAAGAAACCAACAGGGAUUGCCUUAGUAACGGCGAGUGAAGCGGCAAAAGCUCAAAUUUGAAAUCUGGCACUUUCAGUGUCCGAGUUGUAAUUUGAAGAAGGUAUCUUUGGAGUCAGCUCUUGUCUAUGUUCCUUGGAACAGGACGUCACAGAGGGUGAGAAUCCCGUGCGAUGAGAUGUCUGAUUCUAUGUAAAGUUCCUUCGAAGAGUCGAGUUGUUUGGGAAUGCAGCUCUAAGUGGGUGGUAAAUUCCAUCUAAAGCUAAAUAUUGGCGAGAGACCGAUAGCGAACAAGUACAGUGAUGGAAAGAUGAAAAGAACUUUGAAAAGAGAGUGAAAAAGUACGUGAAAUUGUUGAAAGGGAAGGGCUUGGGAUCAGACUUGGUAUUUUGUAUGUCUUGCUUUCGGGUGGGGCCUCUGCAGUUUACUGGGCCAGCAUCGGUUUGGGUGGUAGGAUAAUUGCAUUGGAAAGUGGCACAGCUUCGGUUGUGUGUUAUAGCCUUUGUCGAUACUGCCUGCCUAGACCGAGGACUGCGUCUUUGACUAGGAUGCUGGCAUAAUGAUCUUAAGUCGCCCGUCUUGAAACACGGACCAAGGAGUCUAACGUCUAUGCGAGUGUUUGGGUGUAAAACCCGUACGCGUAAUGAAAGUGAACGUAGGUGAGAGCUCUUUGAGUGCAUCAUCGACCGAUCCUGAUGUCUUCGGAUGGAUUUGAGUAAGAGCAUAGCUGUUGGGACCCGAAAGAUGGUGAACUAUGCCUGAAUAGGGUGAAGCCAGAGGAAACUCUGGUGGAGGCUCGUAGCGGUUCUGACGUGCAAAUCGAUCGUCGAAUUUGGGUAUAGGGGCGAAAGACUAAUC